rnacentral:rRNA from 1 species
GCUCAGGAUGAACGCUGGCGGCGUGCCUAACACAUGCAAGUCGAACGAAGCAAUUAAAUGAAGUUUUCGGAUGGAAUUUGAUUGACUGAGUGGCGGACGGGUGAGUAACGCGUGGAUAACCUGCCUCACACUGGGGGAUAACAGUUAGAAAUGACUGCUAAUACCGCAUAAGCGCACAGUACCGCAUGGUACGGUGUGAAAAACUCCGGUGGUGUGAGAUGGAUCCGCGUCUGAUUAGCCAGUUGGCGGGGUAACGGCCCACCAAAGCGACGAUCAGUAGCCGACCUGAGAGGGUGACCGGCCACAUUGGGACUGAGACACGGCCCAAACUCCUACGGGAGGCAGCAGUA